UACAGAGGUGGCAAGCGUUGUUCGGAAUUACUGGGCGUAAAGGGCGCGUAGGCGGCCUUCUAAGUCAGACGUGAAAUCCCCAGGCUUAACUUGGGAACUGCGUCUGAUACUGGAAGGCUUGAGUGCGGGAGAGGGAUGUGGAAUUCCAGGUGUAGCGGUGAAAUGCGUAGAGAUGUGGAGGAACACCAGUGGCGAAGGCGGCUUUUUGGUCUGUAACUGACGCUGAGGCGCGAAAGCGUGGGGAGCAAACAGG
rnacentral:rRNA from 1 species